rnacentral:rRNA from 1 species
UUAAGUUAUUAAGGGCGCACGGUGGAUGCCUUGGCACUAGAAGCCGAUGAAGGACGUUACUAACGACGAUAUGCUUUGGGGAGCUGUAAGUAAGCUUUGAUCCAGAGAUUUCCGAAUGGGGAAACCCAGCAUGAGUUAUGUCAUGUUAUCGAUAUGUGAAUACAUAGCAUAUCAGAAGGCACACCCGGAGAACUGAAACAUCUUAGUACCCGGAGGAAGAGAAAGAAAAUUCGAUUCCCUUAGUAGCGGCGAGCGAAACGGGAAGAGCCCAAACCAACAAGCUUGCUUGUUGGGGUUGUAGGACACUCUAUACGGAGUUACAAAGGACGACAUUAGACGAAUCAUCUGGAAAGAUGAAUCAAAGAAGGUAAUAAUCCUGUAGUCGAAAAUGUUGUCUCUCUUGAGUGGAUCCUGAGUACGACGGAGCACGUGAAAUUCCGUCGGAAUCUGGGAGGACCAUCUCCUAAGGCUAAAUACUCUCUAGUGACCGAUAGUGAACCAGUACCGUGAGGGAAAGGUGAAAAGCACCCCGGAAGGGGAGUGAAAUAGAACCUGAAACCGUGUGCUUACAAGUAGUCAGAGCCCGUUAAUGGGUGAUGGCGUGCCUUUUGUAGAAUGAACCGGCGAGUUACGAUUUGAUGCAAGGUUAAGCAGUAAAUGUGGAGCCGUAGCGAAAGCGAGUCUGAAUAGGGCGUUUAGUAUUUGGUCGUAGACCCGAAACCAGGUGAUCUACCCUUGGUCAGGUUGAAGUUCAGGUAACACUGAAUGGAGGACCGAACCGACUUACGUUGAAAAGUGAGCGGAUGAACUGAGGGUAGCGGAGAAAUUUCAAUCGAACCUGGAGAUAGCUGGUUCUCUCCGAAAUAGCUUUAGGGCUAGCCUCAAGUGAUGAUUAUUGGAGGUAGAGCACUGUUUGGACGAGGGGCCCCUCUCGGGUUACCGAAUUCAGACAAACUCCGAAUGCCAAUUAAUUUAACUUGGGAGUCAGAACAUGGGUGAUAAGGUCCGUGUUCGAAAGGGAAACAGCCCAGACCACCAGCUAAGGUCCCAAAAUAUAUGUUAAGUGGAAAAGGAUGUGGCGUUGCCCAGACAACUAGGAUGUUGGCUUAGAAGCAGCCAUCAUUUAAAGAGUGCGUAAUAGCUCACUAGUCGAGUGACACUGCGCCGAAAAUGUACCGGGGCUAAACAUAUUACCGAAGCUGUGGAUUGUCCUUUGGACAAUGGUAGGAGAGCGUUCUAAGGGCGUUGAAGCAUGAUCGUAAGGACAUGUGGAGCGCUUAGAAGUGAGAAUGCCGGUGUGAGUAGCGAAAGACGGGUGAGAAUCCCGUCCACCGAUUGACUAAGGUUUCCAGAGGAAGGCUCGUCCGCUCUGGGUUAGUCGGGGCCUAAGCUGAGGCCGACAGGCGUAGGCGAUGGAUAACAGGUUGAUAUUCCUGUACCACCUAUAAUCGUUUUAAUCGAUGGGGGGACGCAGUAGGAUAGGCGAAGCGUGCGAUUGGAUUGCACGUCUAAGCAGUAAGGCUGAGUAUUAGGCAAAUCCGGUACUCGUUAAGGCUGAGCUGUGAUGGGGAGAAGACAUUGUGUCUUCGAGUCGUUGAUUUCACACUGCCGAGAAAAGCCUCUAGAUAGAAAAUAGGUGCCCGUACCGCAAACCGACACAGGUAGUCAAGAUGAGAAUUCUAAGGUGAGCGAGCGAACUCUCGUUAAGGAACUCGGCAAAAUGACCCCGUAACUUCGGGAGAAGGGGUGCUCUUUAGGGUUAACGCCCAGAAGAGCCGCAGUGAAUAGGCCCAAGCGACUGUUUAUCAAAAACACAGGUCUCUGCUAAACCGUAAGGUGAUGUAUAGGGGCUGACGCCUGCCCGGUGCUGGAAGGUUAAGAGGAGUGGUUAGCUUCUGCGAAGCUACGAAUCGAAGCCCCAGUAAACGGCGGCCGUAACUAUAACGGUCCUAAGGUAGCGAAAUUCCUUGGCGGGUAAGUUCCGACCCGCACGAAAGGCGUAACGAUUUGGGCACUGUCUCAACGAGAGACUCGGUGAAAUCAUAGUACCUGUGAAGAUGCAGGUUACCCGCGACAGGACGGAAAGACCCCGUGGAGCUUUACUGUAGCCUGAUAUUGAAAUUCGGCACAGCUUGUACAGGAUAGGUAGGAGCCUUUGAAACGUGAGCGCUAGCUUACGUGGAGGCGCUGGUGGGAUACUACCCUAGCUGUGUUGGCUUUCUAACCCGCACCACUUAUCGUGGUGGGAGACAGUGUCAGGCGGGCAGUUUGACUGGGGCGGUCGCCUCCUAAAAGGUAACGGAGGCGCUCAAAGGUUCCCUCAGAAUGGUUGGAAAUCAAUCAUAGAGUGUAAAGGCAUAAGGGAGCUUGACUGCGAGACCUACAAGUCGAGCAGGGUCGAAAGACGGACUUAGUGAUCCGGUGGUUCCGCAUGGAAGGGCCAUCGCUCAACGGAUAAAAGCUACCCCGGGGAUAACAGGCUUAUCUCCCCCAAGAGUUCACAUCGACGGGGAGGUUUGGCACCUCGAUGUCGGCUCAUCGCAUCCUGGGGCUGUAGUCGGUCCCAAGGGUUGGGCUGUUCGCCCAUUAAAGCGGUACGCGAGCUGGGUUCAGAACGUCGUGAGACAGUUCGGUCCCUAUCCGUCGUGGGCGUAGGAAAUUUGAGAGGAGCUGUCCUUAGUACGAGAGGACCGGGAUGGACAUACCUCUGGUGUACCAGUUGUCGUGCCAACGGCAUAGCUGGGUAGCUAUGUGUGGACGGGAUAAGUGCUGAAAGCAUCUAAGCAUGAAGCCCCCCUCAAGAUGAGAUUUCCCAACUUCGGUUAUAAGAUCCCUCAAAGAUGAUGAGGUUAAUAGGUUCGAGGUGGAAGCAUGGUGACAUGUGGAGCUGACGAAUACUAAUCGAUCGAAGACUUAAUCAA